rnacentral:tRNA from 1 species
GGGGGCAGAGCUCAGUGGUAGAGCACAUGCUUAGCAUGCAUGAGGUCCUGGGUUCAAACCCCAGUACCUCCA